rnacentral:rRNA from 1 species
CCUACGGGGGGCAGCAGUGGGGAAUAUUGGACAAUGGGGGGAACCCUGAUCCAGCGACGCCGCGUGAGUGAAGAAGUAUUUCGGUAUGUAAAGCUCUAUCAGCACGGAAGAAAAUGACGGUACCUGACUAAGAAUCCCCGGCUAACUACGUGCCAGCAGCCGCGGUAAUACGUAGGGGGCAAGCGUUAUCCGGAUUUACUGGGUGUAAAGGGAGCGUAGGCGGUUCAACAAGUCUGAUGUGAAAGGUCGGGGCUCAACCCCGGAACUGCAUUUGAAACUGUUGAACUGGAGUACAGGAGAGGUAAGCGGAAUGCCUGGUGUAGCGGUGAAAUGCGUAGAUAUUAGGAGGAACACCAGUGGCGAAGGCAGCUUACUGGGCUGUAACUGACGUUGAGGCUCGAAAGCGUGGGGAGCAAACAGGAUUAGAUACCCCUGUAGUC